UUUAUUCGGAAGACAGAUUCGAUCGUUGAAAUACGUUUACGUGAAAACCAACAAGCCCAAUUCAUUUUUGCAGACAAUGCUGAUAUCGAUGUUUCAGAAAUAUCUACUACGCUUUAAAAUGUAUGGUCAAGACACAGAUUAUAGAAAAACAGGGAUUGUUGAGGGAAGUGUUUAAGACCCAGACAGUUCGAGAUAUUAUUGUUUGUGGUCAAAACAUAGAUGUGUCUACACUCUACAGUGAUAGAAAAGGAGGAGCUAUUAAUUCGUUUAAAAGAGAAUCAUUAGUAUACCGGGUACCAGACAACACAGAGGAUCCAGCAAUAGUAGUAAAGGAGGUCACAAACUGCACAGUUAUUUUUCAACUACUUUAAAGCACUACCUUCCACCUGUGUGUCCAUUGCUGAAGUACUGAAAAUCUUCUGGAUGAUAUACACCCUUAUAUUUCUACUCUUUAUGAACAAUAUUCAAUUAUUCAACCUUCAUUUCAAUUCUGUGAAAAUAUUCACGGAGACCUGAGAACUUUGGGGGGAAAUAUUCUGCCCAAGAGGUUUAUAACAUACAGUGUUGUGAAUUGGACAUUUAAAUUAUGUAUGAUUCUUACUUGAAUCACUAUGAAUUGAAAUAAACAGGUUUUUGAAAAAUAAAAUAUUAUCGCUCGCCUCUUUUCAUUUUACACCGCUCCUACGUUUUUAAAUUUCAGAUUUUUAAUUUUAAAAUUUUCAAAUCGCUCGCUCGCCCCAAUUUUUUCUGUCAAAAAUCCGAAGAC